UUGGUAGUACUAUGCUACCAGUAGAGAGCACCAGAACUAUCACUCUAAUGACAAAGAUGUUGAGUUUCUCCUACAGGGUAUGCACCUCAUGAUCCUGCUAACUAGUGUCCUUAUUAGCGCACCCCAUAACACCCCUAUAUGUAAUUGUUGCUAAUUUUAAGAUGGCCAUUUGUUGCUCCACGUUCUCGCACUACUGGCUCAGAUCAGAACAACCCGUGUGUAUGACAGAAUUUGGCUUUGUAUGACUGGAAUCACUGAUACCUUCCAUUCCACGUUCUAGUGAGGAAGUCCAACAUUUUGGUGUUGUUUGUGGUUGUUUGGUAGUUCUGGCUUCAUCCAUUUUAUAACUUGUUCCACAUGCCAAGUUUCACUUGAUUCACCUGGCAGACGUUAAAUGGAUCAGCAUUUCUAUGCAUUGGGAAGAAGCAUCAACCACAUAUUGUUCACAUUAUGCAAAGCGGUAGUGACGAGUUUUUCAUGUGCAUGUUUUACUGCCUCGGCGGUGAUGCAAUCAUUCAGGUUUUUUGUUCGACUGCAUCUUACCUAUUCAAACUGCAGGAAAGUAUUGAAUUAUUGUGGGUUCUGGUGGUUUUUAUGCUGACUUGUUCAGUUGUUCUCGGUGGUGUUCUUUUUUUUAUUAUAGGACCACUAUAUGUGCCUCGUGUUAGUCUGUUUCUUGAUAAAAAAAAUUGCAUGGCUCAUUAUAGUAUCCUACUAGGCUUUUCAUGCUCUAGGUUCAUUGAUAUACAACUUUUCUGAAUGUGAAUGAGCUCCUUGAACCUGGAUUUUGGUUAGGCAGAUUAUCUGCAUUAUCUUUUACACUAUUGUAUUUGGUUAAGUGGGUUAUCUAUGUGAGGCCAGAUGUAGUGAUUGGUCUUACUUGUGAUGCUAACAAGCAUGCUUUCAAAAGGUAGACAUACUUACAGAAUUGUUCUUUUGGAAAAAUGGAACAUGAACUGUGAUUUAACGCUCUUAUCAGUCAAUAGCCAUCCUUUCAAUUGUAAUUUUCAUAUAUAGAGCAGAGCUACCUAGCAUUUCCCUGAUGCUAUCAUAACACAUGAAACUGACAGCGAAAAAUGAAGGGCCUAAUAUUUAUUGUCCUACAAUGUUGCACUUUGUAAAACUAUAAAUAAAAUUAUAACUCAUUGAGCCGCAUCCUUUCAGAACAUGUUAAAGUCUAUAAGGGUCUCAUACCUAGCUUGACAGUUAAAGCUCAAUUGGAACUGAAGAUCUAUUACCAUCUAACGUUCAUUGCAUACUGAAAAUUGGAUUAGGUUCUUUUAGAGCUUAAUAGGGCCUGUUUUUUUAUAGGUUAUGGUGUUUUGCCACACUUGACUUUAUUAUUAACCAGAUCUACAGUCCUUGACAAUACUCCUACUUCGGAGCAUUCAUUGGAUGAUCGCAGACCCUUGAUCGGUAAGCAACCGAUUUAUGGCUUGUGGUUGCUGCUUGAUCUCCUCACCUCUCUUGCAGGGGUAAGAAAAAGCAAUGUACGAAGCACCAUAAAAGGUAAGGAGGUGCUCCAUGUAAGGACUUUGGAGUUGCUGGCAUAGCAGAGAAUUGAAUGACUGUGCUUUUCUAAGUGCAAGCAAUUGUGUUCUUUGGGUUUUAUACUAAUUCUCAAACUUGAUGA